rnacentral:rRNA from 1 species
UACGGGGGGGGCAAGCGUUGUUCGGAAUUACUGGGCGUAAAGGGCUCGUAGGUGGCCAACUAAGUCAGACGUGAAAUCCCUCGGCUUAACCGGGGAACUGCGUCUGAUACUGGAUGGCUUGAGUUUGGGAGAGGGACGCGGAAUUCCAGGUGUAGCGGUGAAAUGCGUAGAUAUCUGGAGGAAUACCGGUGGCGAAGGCGGCAUCCUGGACCGGCAUUGACGCUGAGGAGCGAAAGCUAGGGGAGCAAACGGG